UGUGAUUAUAGAGGUGCAAGUGUUAUGAGUAAGUAUAGUGAGCCGGAAGCAAUGAACUAUACUGAAAGGAAUAGUUGCCGAAACAAAAAAAUUCCUACUUUUUUUGUUGGGCUUGUAUUGAAUAAAUGCAAGACUGUCACCAAAAGCUUCUUUUGGGUGGAGUGCUAUCUCACAC
rnacentral:ncRNA from 2 species